rnacentral:rRNA from 1 species
GAUGAACGCUGGCGGCGUGCCUAAUACAUGCAAGUCGAGCGAACGGACGAGAAGCUUGCUUCUCUGAUGUUAGCGGCGGACGGGUGAGUAACACGUGGAUAACCUACCUAUAAGACUGGGAUAACUUCGGGAAACCGUAGCUAAUACCGGAUAAUAUUUUGAACCGCAUGGUUCAAAAGUGAAAGACGGUCUUGCUGUCACUUAUAGAUGGAUCCGCGCUGCAUUAGCUAGUUGGUAAGGUAACGGCUUACCAAGGCAACGAUGCAUAGCCGACCUGAGAGGGUGAUCGGCCACACUGGAACUGAGACACGGUCCAGACUCCUACGGGAGGCAGCAGUAGGGAAUCGUCCGCAAUGGGCGAAAGCCUGGCGGAGCAGCGCCGCGUGAGUGAUGAAGGUCUUCGGAUCGUAAAACUCUGUUAUUAGGGAAGAACAUAUGUGUAAGUAACUGUGCACAUCUUGACGGUACCUAAUCAGAAAGCCACGGCUAACUACGUG